AAGAGGAACUAACAAAGAAUUGUUGGCCAUUAUACUUCAAAAACGAAGAAACAAACACAUAGAAAAAGAGAUCAGAUUUGUGGUUACCAGAGGCAGAGAGUAAGAGUAG